rnacentral:rRNA from 1 species
CCCUAUGGGGUGCAGCAGGCGAGAAAACUUUGCAAUGUACGAAAGUUCGACAAGGUUAAUCCGAGUGGUUUCUGCUAAAGGAACCUUUUGCCAGUUGUAAAACUACUAACGAAUAAGGGGUGGGCAAGUUCUGGUGUCAGCCGCCGCGGUAAAACCAGCACCUCAAGUGGUCAGGAUGAUUAUUGGGCCUAAAGCAUCCGUAGCCUGUUUUGUAAGUCUCCGGUUAAAUCCAUCAACUCAAGUGAUGGGCUGUCGGAGAUACUGCAAAACUAGGGAAUGGGAGAGGUAGACGGUACUCGGUAGGAAGGGGUAAAAUCCUUUGAUCUAUUGAUGACCACCUGUGGCGAAGGCGGUCUACCAGAACAUGUUCGACGGUGAGGGAUGAAAGCUGGGGGAGCAAACCGGAUUAGAUACCCGGGUAGUCCCUGCUGUAAACGAUGCAGACUCGGUGAUGCGUUGGCUCGUUGCUAGCGCAGUGCCGCAGGGAAGCCGUUAAGUUUGCCGCCUGGGAAGUACGUACGCAAGUAUGAAACUUAAAGGAAUUGGCGGGGGAGCACCACAAGGGGUGAAGCCUGCGGUUCAAUUGGAGUCAACGCCAGAAAUCUUACCCGGAGAGACAGCAGAAUGAAGGUCAAGCUGAAGACUUUACCAGACAAGCUGAGAGGAAGUGCAUGGCCAA